rnacentral:rRNA from 1 species
GAGCAGAGGGUGCAAACGUUUGCUCGGAAUCACUGGGCGUAAAGGGCGUGUAGGCGGGAAGGAAAGUCAGAUGUGAAAAUCCCCCAGGCUAACCUGGGAACUGCAUUUGAAACUCCCGUUUCUUGAGUACCGGAGAGGAAAGUGGAAUUCCUGGUGUAGAGGUGAAAUUCGUAGAUAUUCGCAAGAACACCAGUGGCGAAGGCG